rnacentral:lncRNA from 1 species
UGGAAUGAUAUGUAAGCUUAAUUUAAUUCAAAAACAACCAUUGCUGAUUUUAACGAGGAACUGCAAGGCAUCAUCCCAUCUACACCCAUAUAUUUAUUUCCAUAUGUAAGCUUCUACACAAAACUUCAAGAAUUUUAAAGAAAAAUUUAGUACAACUGAGGAGGCCUGGUGAGGCAGUGAAAUUCAAAUAACACAUGCAUCAGCAUCACCACGGUUUCAAGUCCCCAACUGGUCCUGCUGUCCAGUUCAAAAUCUUUUCACCAGGCUUCAAGUAUAUACUCUUCUGAUGUGGCAAUUUACGAGCUAGCCCAUUCAAUAUUUGAUGGAAAGCAUCUCCUGGUAGUGCAGGUUGCGGGAACAACAUGGCUCGUUUCAUCGAAGGAUUAGCCAGAAGCCUCUGUUUCCUUAAUAUUACUUCCGGAGGUAUAGAUGUGAGAAUCGUAUCUAACUUAGGAACAUCUUCUUCUGCAACAAACACUCCGAUUUCCUCCCAUGGAAUAGCAUCAGCAAAGGGUAACACUAUAUCAUCAGCAAUGAUGACAGGAAUGCACCCAAAUACCACAGCUUCCAC